UCUGACUGUACAGUGUGAACAGCCUCAUUAUAUUGUUUAUGCAACUUCUGAACUCAUGCCAACAUCAACAGUAUGGAGCCCAGAAGAUGGAAACAAUAUUAAAACUUACAUACAUGCCCUGCAAAGAGAACAUCGCGCUGGUUUUUCCAGGAAGGGCCUCAGGUUUGCUGACUGCUUCUUCCAGGAAGGCUUUUUGUUGGCUGAUCAGUGCUUAUAGGAAAGACGUUUGGUUGGCCCAUCAGCACUCGUAUUGUCACAGCCGCUUCUGAUAAAGCUAGACGAGCUUCCAGGAAACCAGAGAUUUACCCUCCAGCAUUCCAUCAUUCCUUCACCAUCAGCAGAGAGCAAGUGAGAGAAAGAGAGAGAGAGAGAGAGGAGCAGAAGGGUAUAACAGCGAUGUGGAUCAAUAAAAACAAUAUGGGAAGCAUGCACAUAUUCAUAUACAGUUGAAAUGUGUGCGUUUGUUAACACCUGAUGGAUGGGUGUGUCGGCGUUCUGCCUGGAAGAAGAA